rnacentral:rRNA from 1 species
CCUACGGGGGGCUGCAGUAAGGAAUAUUGGACAAUGGCCGCAAGGCUGAUCCAGCCAUGCCGCGUGAAGGAUGAAGGUGCUAUGCAUUGUAAACUUCUUUUGUCCCGGAAUAAACCCCUGAUUUCUAUCGGGGCUGAAUGUACGGGAAGAAUAAGGGACGGCUAACUUCGUGCCAGCAGCCGCGGUAAUACGAAGGUCCCAAGCGUUAUCCGGAUUUAUUGGGUUUAAAGGGUGCGUAGGCGGGUUGUUAAGUCAGUGGUGAAAGCCUACAGCUCAACUGUAGAAUUGCCAUUGAUACUGACGAUCUUGAGUAUGGUUGAGGAGGGCGGAAUGUGUCAUGUAGCGGUGAAAUGCUUAGAUAUGACACAGAACACCGAUUGCGAAGGCAGCUCUCUAAGCCAAUACUGACGCUGAUGCACGAAAGCGUGGGGAGCAAACAGGAUUAGAUACCCCAGUAGUC